ACAGCUUCUGGUUUUUGCCUCGCUUGUCCGUCCGUUGUCCAGUCAUCCAUUUCCGAUGCGGACGACACGACGACGCGACGUGCGCGACUCGCCCACACGAGACCAUUUUGUUAGUGAGUACGUCACGUAGUAAUAGGUACAGUAGUAGAAGUCGUUCCCUUCGCCAAGUGUCUCGACCUUUGGGGCUUUCAUUCAGACUUUAUGUUCCAGAUUCCAGCUUGGCAAACCAGCAAUCACCUAUGCUUUCUUUCCUAUGUCCUAGCGCAUAUAGCAUGCUUAGAUCAGCAAAAAAAGCUGGAAACUUGGAGCUUGCGUGUUCGGUCAGUCUUCUUCCUGCCCUCUAUCUGCAGGUGCGCGAUUCUACAUUUGCACUUUGCAUUAUCAUAUAUACUUAUUUACUCAUGUCCAUAUACUUAUAUAUUUAAUGAAUUGAGACGGCAAGGGAUGUUCUAUUAUGUUUUUUGGGGCAGAGGUCGGUAAUUUGCGUCCCGCAGACUAGGAGACCGGCUUUAGGAACGACGAGGAACAUACUUUGAUCAACGCACAACAGAGGCCUAUGGUUUAGGCUGAUCGUUGAUAUCAAAAUACACAGAUAACGCCAUCGAUAGAGGCUAGACACCAUAAGAAAUCAUACAUGUCACCCACACCCCCCACAACGAACUCCCCCCGCCAAGACGCCAAUCCUCGGCCCCAAACAAAGGUGAAACGCCAAGCAUCCACUAAUCGCAGAUUUCCUUACGCGAAGAAGAACGAUGAACAAGAUUACUAGAAUGGCAGAUGACGAACAAGACUGGCGGAAGAUAGAAAUAAAAAGAAUAAAGACCGACCAAAAGUAGCACGCAAAAAGGACUAAUUUGGAUUCCGCCCGAUAUGACAAGGAUGAAAAGAGACAUGCUUUACAC
rnacentral:sRNA from 1 species